GACGCUGGCGGUAGGCUUAACACAUGCAAGUCGUGCGAGAAAGUAUCUUCGGAUAUGAGUAGAGCGGCGGACGGGUGAGUAACGCGUAGGAAUCUACCUAGUAGAAGGGGAUAGCCCGGGGAAACUCGGAUUAAUACCGUAUACCUCCUUCGGGAGAAAGAAGGCCUCUCUUUGAAGCUUUCGCUAUUAGAUGAGCCUGCGUAAGAUUAGCUUGUUGGUGAGGUAAAGGCUCACCAAGGCGACGAUCUUUAGCGGGUCUGAGAGGACGAUCCGCCACAUUGGGACUGAGACACGGCCCAGACUCCUACGGGAGGCAGCAGUGGGGAAUAUUGGACAAUGGGCGCAAGCCUGAUCCAGCCAUACCGCGUGUGUGAAGAAGGCCCUAGGGUUGUAAAGCACUUUAAGUUGGGAAGAAAAGUUAUUGGCUAAUAUCCAAUAACUGUGACAUUACCAUCAGAAUAAGGACCGGCUAAUUCCGUGCCAGCAGCCGCGGUAAUACGGAAGGUCCAAGCGUUAAUCGGAAUUACUGGGCGUAAAGCGCGCGUAGGUGGUUUAUUAAGUUGGAUGUGAAAUCCCCGGGCUCAACCUGGGAACUGCAUCCAAAACUGAUUCACUAGAGUACGAUAGAGGGAGGUAGAAUUCACAGUGUAGCGGUGGAAUGCGUAGAUAUUGUGAAGAAUACCAAUGGCGAAGGCAGCCUCCUGGAUCUGUACUGACACUGAGGUGCGAAAGCGUGGGUAGCGAACAGGAUUAGAUACCCUGGUAGUCCACGCCGUAAACGAUGUCAACUAGCUGUUGGAGAACUAUGUUCUUCAGUGGCGCAGCUAACGUAGUAAGUUGACCGCCUGGGGAGUACGGCCG
rnacentral:rRNA from 1 species